UUUCCUCAAGCGGGCAACUGCUGAGAAGCGAGAAUACCUUCCCCAAUCAAAACAAGCACCGUGAGCCAUCCCUUUGGGAAACAGAUAUAUAACCUGACCAAAAGCCAAGAGAGAGCAGAAAUCAGAAUUGAAUAUUACAGUACUCCCUACCCCCAGUGUUGACUGUUCACUCUUCCCCAUGAGACAAGAAGAGCAAAUUAGAAAAAUGGUUGCUGCUCACAUUUCUACCUCGUACCCCAAUCAAAACCCUCACACAUCACCACCCAAUCGAACCCUCCAGAGCAAAUGUUUCCCACUGGGUUCUCUCUCUUCUUCCCCUCUCCUCCCGUCCCCACCGUUCUCAACCUCCCUAGAUCACUCCCAAAAUCACAACCAACGGCGACAACAACCACGAGCUUCGGGUUCCGGAACCUGAUGGAGACAUUCACGGUGGACGUGCAGAGAGCGGAGGGGCGGCCCCUGAACGUCCCCCUCAUCGCCCCUUUCACGAUCGCCUCCUCGAGGCUGGACAGGGUGGAAAACGUGGCCAUUCGGAUCGAGUUGAGUAAUGGGUGCGCGGGUUGGGGCGAGGCACCGAUUCUGCCGUCGGUGACGGCCGAGGAUCAGGCAACGGCGCUGGCGAUGGCGGCCAAGGCGUGCUGCUAUCUGAAGCAGAGUCCGGCCAUGACAUUGGGUUCGGCGUUGCGGGAGAUUGGUGGGAUUCUUCCUGGACAUGAAUUUGCCUCAGUUAGGGCUGGAGUUGAGAUGGCAUUAAUUGAUGCAGUUGCCAACAGCAUUGGCAUACCUUUGUGCAGACUAUUUGGUGGAGUUUCAAAUACCAUAACCACUGAUAUCACAAUUCCAAUAUGUUCCCCAGAUAAAGCUGCUGAAUUGGCUUCAAAGUAUUGUAAACAAGGAUUUAGGACUUUGAAGCUUAAGGUGGGCAAGAAUCUGAAUGGAGAUCUAGAAGUGCUGCAAGCGAUACGCAGGGUUUACCCGGAUUGCUUGUUUAUCCUGGAUGCUAACGAGGGUUACACAUCCAAUGAAGCUAUUCAAGUUCUUCAAAAAUUGCAUGAAAUGGAGGUGACUCCAGUUCUCUUUGAACAACCAGUCCACAGAGAUGAUUGGGAAGGUCUUGGUCAUGUUUAUCAUGUUGCAAAAAACAAAUAUGGGGUAGCUGUUGCUGCUGAUGAAAGUUGCCGAAGUCUAGCUGAUGUUGGAAAAAUAGUUGAAGAAAAUCUUGCAAAUGUCAUUAACAUUAAGCUCGCCAAAGUUGGGGUUCUUGGGGCUCUCGAAAUUAUUGAAGUAGCUAAGUCAUCUGGAUUGAAUCUGAUGAUUGGUGGUAUGGUUGAGACAAGACUGGCCAUGGGUUUUGCUGGUCAUCUUGCUGCUGGCUUUGGAUGUUUCAAAUUCAUUGACCUAGACACACCCAUUUUGCUAUCAGAAGAUCCUGUGCUAGAGGGUUAUGAAGCUUCUGGUCCCGUAUACAAGUUCACAAAUGCAAGAGGUCAUGGUGGUUUCCUUCAUUGGGACAAUAUUUUGUGAAUGGUUGUGUAUGGAGUGGAACCUACUACCCCCAAGCAUGAGAUCCAAGUACACAUAGAUGGCUUAAUCCUAUGCUUAUCCAUCCACCGAAACAAACCACUGUGCAAGAUAUGAAUGGGCUCCACGUGCUUCCUCUUUGUGGAUGUGCAAGUCAUUCCACAACUUAUGAGAUCCUAUUGCUUGUAAAACAUGCUUCACUUUAAUGAGACUCUGGCAGCCCUUUGGUUUCUUCAAGGCUCUCUGACAAGUUGAGUUUUCAGAGGCAAGACGGUCUUAAGAAGGUAAAGUCUAAAUUUAUUCGGGAUAAUCUGUAUCAAGUGUUUGCAAGCAUGCAGUUAGAUUUGUCUGUGCAAAUUCUUUCUCCCAUUGUGUAUCGUUACGGGUGUUGUUCAGAUAUUUCAUUAUAAAUGCUAGCUUCAUCUAUUUUUUAUUUUGGUGCUACUCUAUUUUCAUUGUUGUAGAAAAUGUAUCUUCUAAACUAGUGCAGGGAGGCAAUGCAUUGUGUUAAACAAUUGUCAGCAACUGAAAUAUUGUCUGAUUCAUCAAUACUAAUGCUACGAAUGAUUAAUUGGUCUCUCCCCA